rnacentral:rRNA from 1 species
GACGAACGCUGGCGGCACGCCUAACACAUGCAAGUCGAACGGAGAACUUUUGGUUUACUAUAAGUUCUUAGUGGCGGACGGGUGAGUAACACGUGAGCAACCUGCCUCUGAAAGAGGGAUAGCUUCUGGAAACGGAUGGUAAUACCUCAUAACAUAACGAAGCCGCAUGACUUUGUUAUCAAAGAUUUAUCACUCAGAGAUGGGCUCGCGUCUGAUUAGAUAGUUGGUGAGGUAACGGCUCACCAAGUCGACGAUCAGUAGCCGGACUGAUAGGUUGAACGGCCACAUUGGGACUGAGACACGGCCCAUACUCCUACGGGAGGCAGCAGUGGGGAAUAUUGCACAAUGGGGGAAACCCUGAUGCAGCGAUGCCGCGUGAGGGAAGAAGGUUUUCGGAUUGUAAACCUCUGUUGACAGGGACGAUAAUGACGGUACCUGUUCAGAAAGCUCCGGCUAACUACGUGCCAGCAGCCGCGGUAAUACGUAGGGAGCGAGCGUUGUCCGGAAUUACUGGGUGUAAAGGGAGCGUAGGCGGGAACGCAAGUCAGAUGUGAAAUGCAUGGGCUUAACCCAUGAGCUGCAUUUGAAACUGCGAUUCUUGAGUGAAGUAGAGGUAAGCGGAAUUCCUGGUGUAGCGGUGAAAUGCGUAGAUAUCAGGAGGAACACCAGUGGCGAAGGCGGCUUACUGGACGAUUACUGACGCUGAGGCUCGAAAGCGUGGGGAGCAAACA